GAUGAACGCUGGCGGCGUGCCUAAUACAUGCAAGUCGAGCGGAAAGGCCUCUUCGGAGGUACUCGAGCGGCGGACGGCUGAGUAACACGUAGGAACGUACCCUGAAGUGAGGGAUAACUGCUCGAAAGAGUAGCUAAUACCGCAUGUGCUCUAAGGAGCAAAGCUUCGGCGCUUUGGGAACGGCCUGCGUCUGAUUAGCUAGAUGGUGAGGUAAUGGCUCACCAUGGCGACGAUCAGUAGCUGGUCUGAGAGGAUGAUCAGCCAGACUGGGACUGAGACACGGCCCAGACUCCUACGGGAGGCAGCAGUAGGGAAUUUUCCACAAUGGGCGAAAGCCUGAUGGAGCAACGCCGCGUGCAGGAUGAAUGCCUUCGGGUUGUAAACUGCUUUUAUAUGUGACGAAUAUGACGGUAGCAUAUGAAUAAGGAUCGGCUAACUCCGUGCCAGCAGCCGCCGUAA
rnacentral:rRNA from 1 species